CCCAAGCAGGUGGGAUGGAAAACAAAAGCAUUACAGGUCCAACGGGCCAUUUCUGAGAGAACAAACAUUCAGGCUGAAAUAAUGCACAUGACUUCACAAUUCAAGGAAGCCCUAAGCAAGCAGCAGAAAAGAUCCUUGAAAAAUAAUAGAGUCACAGAACAGACGUGGCUGGAGAGUUAGAGGUGAACAAUGAGAAAGCAAGAGAGACCACAAAUGCGUUAGUGAAAACAGGACUCAAGUGAGAGCAGAUGGAAUAAAGCCUGACACAUGCUAAUGCAACAGGUUGAAGAACUAAUAAAGAUGUUAAAUACUGCAUUUACCUCCCAGCUCAUCCAGCCUCCUGAUCACCCCCUGGAUGUCCCUCCCCUCACAUACCCCAGCACAUACCUCAGAUGAUAAAAUUAUGGCAGCAGCCCAUCCAUUUAAAUACCUUAACCUAUCAAAUUGCAAACUGAAAUGGAAUUUCAAAAUACCUGACCGGGAGCAG